rnacentral:rRNA from 1 species
AUUGAACGCUGGCGGCAUGCUUUACACAUGCAAGUCGAACGGUAACAGGCCUUCGGGUGCUGACGAGUGGCGAACGGGUGAGUAAUGCAUCGGAACGUGCCCAGAGGUGGGGGAUAACGCAGCGAAAGCUGUGCUAAUACCGCAUGUGAUCUGAGGAUGAAAGCGGGGGACCAGGCAGCAAUGUUUGGCCUCGCGCCUUUGGAGCGGCCGAUGUCAGAUUAGGUAGUUGAUGGGGUAAAGGCCUACCAAGCCGACGAUCUGUAGCUGGUCUGAGAGGACGACCAGCCACACUGGGACUGAGACACGGCCCAGACUCCUACGGGAGGCAGCAGUGGGGAAUUUUGGACAAUGGGCGCAAGCCUGAUCCAGCAAUGCCGCGUGCGGGAAGAAGGCCUUCGGGUUGUAAACCGCUUUUGUACGGAACGAAAAGGCUCUGGCUAAUACCUGGGGCUGAUGACGGUACCGUAAGAAUAAGCACCGGCUAACUACGUG